AGUGGGGAAUCUUGGACAAUGGGGGAAACCCUGAUCCAGCCAUGCCGCGUGAGUGAUGAAGGCCCUAGGGUUGUAAAACUCUUUCGGCGGGGACGAUAAUGACGGUACCCGCAGAAGAAGCUCCGGCUAACUUCGUGCCAGCAGCCGCGGUAAUACGAAGGGGGCUAGCGUUGUUCGGAAUUACUGGGCGUAAAGCGCGCGCAGGCGGUUCUUCAAGUCAGAGGUGAAAGCCCAGAGCUCAACUCUGGAAUGGCCUUUGAGACUAGAGAACUAGGGUACGGGAGAGGUGAGUGGAAUUCCGAGUGUAGAGGUGAAAUUCGUAGAUAUUCGGAAGAACACCAGUGGCGAAGGCGGCUCACUGGCCCGUUACCGACGCUCAGGCGCGACAGCGUGGGGAGCAAA
rnacentral:rRNA from 1 species